rnacentral:rRNA from 1 species
GACGAACGCUGGCGGCGUGCCUAACACAUGCAAGUCGAGCGAGGGGCUUCGGUCCCUAGCGGCGGACGGGUGAGUAACACGUGGGCAACCUGCCUCAUAGAGGGGGAUAGCCUCCCGAAAGGGAGAUUAAUACCGCAUAACAUCAUGCUUUCGCAUGGAAGUAUGAUUAAAGGAGCAAUCCGCUAUGAGAUGGGCCCGCGGCGCAUUAGCUAGUUGGUGAGGUAACGGCUCACCAGGGCGACGAUGCGUAGCCGACCUGAGAGGGUGAUCGGCCACAUUGGAACUGAGACACGGUCCAGACUCCUACGGGAGGCAGCAGUGGGGAAUAUUGCACAAUGGGGGAAACCCUGAUGCAGCAACGCCGCGUGAGUGAAGAAGGCCUUCGGGUUGUAAAGCUCUGUCUUUUGGGACGAUAAUGACGGUACCAAAGGAGGAAGCCACGGCUAACUACGUGCCAGCCGCCGCCGUAAAAC